rnacentral:rRNA from 1 species
AACGAACGCUGGCGGCAGGCUUAACACAUGCAAGUCGAGCGCCCCGCAAGGGGAGCGGCAGACGGGUGAGUAACGCGUGGGAACGUACCCUUUGCUACGGAAUAGCUCCGGGAAACUGGAAUUAAUACCGUAUGUGCCCUACGGGGAAAAGAUUUAUCGGCAAAGGAUCGGCCCGCGUUGGAUUAGCUAGUUGGUGGGGUAAUGGCCUACCAAGGCGACGAUCCAUAGCUGGUCUGAGAGGAUGAUCAGCCACAUUGGGACUGAGACACGGCCCAAACUCCUACGGGAGGCAGCAGUGGGGAAUAUUGGACAAUGGGCGCAAGCCUGAUCCAGCCAUGCCGCGUGAGUGAUGAAGGCCUUAGGGUUGUAAAGCUCUUUCACCGGAGAAGAUAAUGACGGUAUCCGGAGAAGAAGCCCCGGCUAACUUCGUGCCAGCAGCCGCGGUAAUAC